UAGGGAAUCUUCGGCAAUGGGGGGAACCCUGACCGAGCAACGCCGCGUGAGUGAAGAAGGUUUUCGGAUCGUAAAGCCCUGUUGUUAAGGAAGAAAGAGUGUGAGAAUGGAAAGUUCAUGCUGUGACGGUACUUAACCAGACAGGGACGGCUAACUACGUGCUAGCAGCCGCGGUAAUACGUAGGUCCCGAGCGUUGUCCGGAUUUAUUGGGCGUAAAGCGAGCGCAGGCGGUUAGAAAAGUCUGAAGUGAAAGUCAGUGGCUCAACCAUUGUAGGCUUUGGAAACUGUUUAACUUGAGUGCAGAAGGGGAGGGGGGAAUUCCAUGUGUAGCGGUGAAAUGCGUAGAUAUAUGGAGGAACACCGGUGGCGAAAGCGGCUCUCUGGUCUGUAACUGACGCUGAGGCUCGAAAGCGUGGGGAGCGAACAGG
rnacentral:rRNA from 1 species